rnacentral:rRNA from 1 species
GACGAACGCUGGCGGCGUGCUUAACACAUGCAAGUCGAACGGAAAGGCCCUGCUUUUGUGGGGUGCUCGAGUGGCGAACGGGUGAGUAACACGUGAGUAACCUGCCCUUGACUUUGGGAUAACUUCAGGAAACUGGGGCUAAUACCGGAUAGGAGCUCCUGCUGCAUGGUGGGGGUUGGAAAGUUUCGGCGGUUGGGGAUGGACUCGCGGCUUAUCAGCUUGUUGGUGGGGUAGUGGCUUACCAAGGCUUUGACGGGUAGCCGGCCUGAGAGGGUGACCGGCCACAUUGGGACUGAGAUACGGCCCAGACUCUUACGGGAGGCAGCAGUGGGGAAUAUUGCACAAUGGGCGGAAGCCUGAUGCAGCAACGCCGCGUGCGGGAUGACGGCCUUCGGGUUGUAAACCGCUUUCGCCUGUGACGAAGCGUGAGUGACGGUA